AACGAGAAAAAAAGUUUAAAAGAAAAAAAAAAAAAGCGAGUGCACAGAUACACACACACACAGCCGAUGAGGAGGAACCUAAAUUUAGUUACCGCUUGUCCUGCCACCCCUGGGCACGGAGAACACCAUGCCGGCCAUGCCCGGCUCGACGGGGAUAAAAGGCAGAGGCUGCCAAACGUUUCUUACCAGUGAUGGUUACCUCCACUAGUGUGACCCGUAGCAUGCGCGCUCACCGAGAAAAGAAAAAAAAUUCGGUUCCACAUUCUCAAUUUAACCAAACUUGAAAUCUUUCCCUGAGUCAAUUUUUGGUUGGUCCGGUCAACAUAAAAAAAAAACAAACAAAACAAGACAAACAAACACCAUAACAGCAAAAGAAGACAACAACAACAAAAAUUCGUGCGCCCGGCGGACUUUUCGACUCAGCUUGGCCGUCCCGCAUUUCGUGUCCGAUUGGCUGAAGUGUUGCAGAGUGCGGCGGCCGAACGAACAGGAGCAACGACGCAAGCAACUGGUUUCCCCCAAGUUCCUCAUCACGACCGACCCAUUACGCAAAUUUCAUUCAAAAGGCUAAGUUUCUUUGGAGCAUUCAACAAGGAAAAAGUUUGUAGUCUGAAAUCGAUCGUUUGUAUAGCGCACCUCAUUUAACUUUGACUUCUUGCUAUUUGUUAUUUUCACUCUCUUGUUAUUUUUCAUUGCCCUAUCUUGCCCACCCUAAAUCCUCCAGUUUCCUCAGAUGGUCACCACAUUGGGUCGAAAAGUCUGUUCAUGUUUAGAGUAGAAAAAGAGGGGGAGGGGGGCCGUGAUAUUUGAACGGUAAAUGACUUGGAGCGGCCGGCCAGAAGGAACUAAGAAUGUUGUACAUGUGUAUACUAUACAACAUGGGAUUUCUCCUUGCACGGCUGGGAAGCGGCUGGUAUCCAUCACGAUUCAGAUGGUUCCAAUUUUAGGUGCGAGCAGCCUCCUCCGCUCCCUACCCCCCCCUUUCCAAGCCUCCCUAUUUCCAGACACGAAAAUUUCCAGUCUCUUCCUCUCGCUCUCUUGCCAGCCCGAAUUUCUAUCCAAAUAGAAGACGGACCAGCACGGCGAGUCAGCCAACUCAUUUUAUGCUUUGGCUAUUGGGGGAAGGAUGCGGGGGUGGAGUCAACUUGCUUCUUCCUCUCUUUCUUUAUUUAUUCUUCUUCUCCUACCAACUAUUUCCCAGACAGGAUGCGAAGAGCAACAGUUUGGAUGACUAAGAACGAAAAGAGAGAAAGAAAAAAAAAACGCAGGGUGGAAAUUUGAGGACCUCGGCAAUGAGGAGGAGUCUCUCUGUCGAUGUCUCUUUACUUAAAAAGAAAGGGGAGCAAGAGGCGGGAGAAGCUUAGAGGAAACUAUUAAGAGCCUCCUCCGACUGCAAACAGAAUGUCUUGAUCGACUCGUCCUAGACCUGAUCCUUCAAACUCUUGGCCAUUCGCUUAACGCACUCGGACUCGCUCGCAAGGCUUUUCCUUUAAGCUACGCAGCUGCCCCCAUCAAAGUUCAGACUUUUCAGUUUCGUUAUCGAAUUUUGUCUCGUGUUUCAUUUCAGACUCCGGUUUUUACAGUUCAUCGCACACGCACAUAGACUUUUCAUGUUCCAACGGCGCGCACACUGUUUCAUCGCAUCGUGCUCCGAACUCCUUCCUUUUCAUUUAACUUUUAGUUUGUCCUUCCUUUUCUCCUUCGCAGCGUGACUGUGUGCAGACAGUGGACUGUUUCUCGAGUGCGUGUUCCGUUCGGGCAGGGCUAGACGCAAGAGAGGAGCACCAACCCCAUUCGAUCAAGAAAAAGCCGAGCAGCCAGACAACUGGAUCAUCGUCAUCACGAUUUUUGUUUUGUCUGUUUAAAGCGCUUUGGUGUGGGUUCCGUGCUUCCUUACUUCCCAUAGUCAAAUGACAAACGUAUGGAAUGUAAAGAAGUAUGGAGCAAAUGCCGGGCUAUCAUCGCGACGUCUGUUUCUUUCCAAAUUUGUGUUCCAAAUGGUUCGUGACAUUUGAAAAAAAAAAAUAAAUUUAAAUAAUAAUACACUUGAUUUGAUCGUCCUCCAUUUUGGAAUAGCUUUCCACGAAACAUUAACGCUCACUGUCGCAUGUUAUUUCAGAGGAACUGACUUUUAUGAUGAAAUUGUUAUUAAUUAAAAUUUGACUUUGACGGGCGAGAAGGGCAACUCGUCUGCCUGAUUGAUUACUCAAAAGGGGAAGCGAACAAAAAGGAAGAAAAAACUUCACAAGUUCCCAUAGUGUCAAAAGACGUCGAGUUUCAAGCACGCACUGGCAAACCCAUCUCGAAUUUCAUAGAGCCAAUGGCAAAACGAAGGCAAAAGCCAAAAGCAAGACAUUGAAAACGAAAGAGAGAGAAAAAGGAAAAAAAAAAAAAAGAGAAACGCAAUUCUUUCAUUCAAUAAGGCGGCGUCUGAGUUUCGGGUGUUUCAAACGAUAGAAGAAAAAAAAAAGGGGGAACACAACGAAAUAAAAAAGAACAGCAGCCAUAACACACACAAAAAGAAGAAGAAGAAAUGCAAACUCCUUGCAAAACGAUUACAGAUCUGUUUUCACCCUACCCUCAUGUGCUCACGAAGGAUCAAACGAGUUCUCCUAACUGCCGCUAGGUGAAGAGUCGUUAGCCGCACGCAACGACAGCCUGGGCUCACGAAACCCGGCAUUCCAUCAACUAUUUUUAUUUUUUUUUUUUGCUCUCCUUUUCUCCAUACAAUUCCAUUUCGUAAUACAAAUUUGUUUGCCAUCGUCACGGAAAGCAAAAGAAAUAACAAUAAUUCAAACAAACUUAUUUGGUGAUCGAAAUGGACUUAAAGCCUAGCCAAGUUGAUGCCCUACUUUCGCAGACAAGACAAUUUGGUAUUGGAUCGAGUGUUUGAAGAAACUAGUGGUGAUUGUGUACAGUGCAGAGGAAAAGAGCAGGCAAACUUAUUGAUUCAGUGCUCCACCCUGUCCGUUUUUCGACUACAACACAAACCCCGUGUUUCCAUCCUUUCUUCUUUUUCUCUUUGCCGUUCUCGUUAGUUAGUGAGCCCCCCAACCUCUAACCAGAAUUCCAUGUCUCGACUUCAAGAAGACAAUCCAACAAAGACAAGAAAAACAAAUACACACACACACAAAACGCACAAAAAUGUUCGAUCAAACUAUUGAGAAAAGGGCAGAAUUGAAAAACCAAACGACUUGGGUUUUACGUUUCCCUUACAGACCUUCGUUUUCUUCUUCUUUUUUUUUCUUUUAGUUGUUGGUUACAGAGUUUUUCUUUUUAAAAUUCCCGCUGACUUUUCACGUCACGUGCGUGAACGGACCCUGAAUCCCGGAUACCUCAAAGCCGGUGAAGAUUAAAGGCAGAAAACGGGAGGAAGGAAAAGGCAAAACGAUACGCUACGACAGUUAACUAAGGAGCUCCUCAACUCGUUGCGCAAAGGAGAUGCCAAUAGGCGCCUGUCCCACCGUUGAUCUUCUCUUUCUCGUUCUUCACGCUAUUGCCUGUGUGUCCCUUUUUUUCUUUUUUGCUACCAGUUUCCGCUUUUUUCUUGUCUCUUCCUUCCUAUCACAGUGCAAUAAGGGGCUGCUGCUGCUUGCACGCGAACGCAGACAAAAAGAAAAGGGGGAAACUCACACGCCGGUGAAUAACAAUCAAACGGAUGAGAGAGGCGAAAUUCGUUGGUCCGUGGGUGAAAGAGGAGCGGGGAAACACGGGAAAGCCCGACCGUUCGCCUAAACAAUUCACGAGCGUCGUUGCAGAAUGCAUAAAACAUCGACUAACAAGAGCGUCGAGAAAGACUUGCUGUCUGUUUCUUCUUCACCAGGCUGGGGAAUGUCUGUCUCUUCGAGAUGAUUCACUUUAACGGAGUGUGUCGCUCGCAAUUUGCAUCUCCUUUGUGUCCCUUUUGGUUUUGAAUACAUUUUCAUUUGCCUCUU
rnacentral:lncRNA from 1 species